rnacentral:rRNA from 1 species
GUCCACGCCGUAACGAUGGAUACUAGCUGUUGGGCAACUUCAGUGGCUAAGCGAAAGUGAUAAGUAUCCCACCUGGGAGUACGUUCGCAAGAAUGAAACUCAAAGGAAUUGACGGGCCCGCACAAGCGGUGGAGCAUGUGGUUUAAUUCGAUGAUACGCGAGGAACCUUACCAAGGCUUAAAUGUAGAUUGACCGGUUUGGAAACAGACUUUUUCGCAAGACAAUUUACAAGGUGCUGCAUGGUUGUCGU